rnacentral:rRNA from 1 species
AUUGAACGCUGGCGGCAUGCCUUACACAUGCAAGUCGAACGGCAGCACGGGAGCAAUCCUGGUGGCGAGUGGCGAACGGGUGAGUAAUAUAUCGGAACGUGCCCAGUAGUGGGGGAUAACUGCUCGAAAGAGCAGCUAAUACCGCAUACGACCUGAGGGUGAAAGGGGGGGAUCGCAAGACCUCUCGCUAUUGGAGCGGCCGAUAUCAGACUAGCUAGUUGGUGGGGUAAAGGCCUACCAAGGCAACGAUCUGUAGUUGGUCUGAGAGGACGGCCAGCCGCACUGGGACUGUGACACGGCCCAGACUCCUACGGAGGGCAGCAGUGGGGAAUUUUGGACAAUGGGCGCAAGCCUGAUCCAGCAAUGCCGCGUGCAGGAAGAAGGCCUUCGGGUUGUCAACUGCUUUUGUCAGGGAAGAAAUCCUCUAGGUUAAUACCCUUGGGGGGAUGACGGUACCUGAAGAAUAAGCACCGGCUAACUACGUGCCAGCAGCCGCAGUAACAC